CAACUCUCUUGGUCAUUCUCCUCUCUCUGUGCAACUCUUUCCUAUCCAGUAUUUUGCUCUGCAAAUUCCAUCCACCUUUGCCUCUGAAUUCUCAACUCCGUCUCCUCAGCGCAGGAAGACCUUCAGACUCCCAGCACGGUGGCCAGGAAACACUCUGCAAGCAAAAUUGCCACAAUCACUCAGCCUUCAACAGCUACCACCCUGAUAAGUCAGCAGCCAGCAUCGUGGAAGCAGGACCCUCUACCAGCAAAAAGAUUA
rnacentral:lncRNA from 1 species